CUAAGAAUAUUCCGCAAUGGACGGAAGUCUGACGGAGCGACGCCGCGUGGAUGAAGAAGGCCGAAAGGUUGUAAAGUUCUUUUGCUGGGGAAGAAUAACCGCAGGAGGGAAUGCCUGUGGGAUGACAAGAACCGGCGAAUAAGCCCCGGCCAACUACGUGCCAGCAGCCGCGGUAACACGUAGGGGGCGAGCGUUGUUCGGAAUUACUGGGCGUAAAGGGCAUGUAGGCGGCUUGGAAAGCCUGGCGUGAAAGUCUGCAGCUUAACUGCAGGGGUGCGCUGGGAACUGCUGAGCUUGAGUGACGGAGAGGGAGCUGGAAUUCCUGGUGUAGGGGUGAAAUCUGUAGAUAUCAGGAAGAACACCGAUGGCGAAGGCAAGCUCCUGGCCGAUGACUGACGCUGAGGUGCGAAAGUGUGGGGAUCAAACAGGAUUAGAUACCCUGGUAGUCCACACAGUCAACGAUGUGCACUAGGUGC
rnacentral:rRNA from 1 species